rnacentral:rRNA from 1 species
GGAUCAUUAAAGAGUUCUAUAACUCCCAAACCCAUGUGAACAUACCUUACGUUGCCUCGGCAGGUCGCGCCUACCUCGUAGCACCCUACCCUGUAGGGCCUACCCGGGUGACGCGGGUAAGCCUGCCGGCGGCCCAUGAAACUCUGUUUAGCAUUGAAUUCUGAACAUAUAACUAAAUAAGUUAAAACUUUCAACAAUGGAUCUCUUGGUUCUGGCAUCGAUGAAGAACGCAGCGAAAUGCGAUAAGUAAUGUGAAUUGCAGAAUUCAGUGAAUCAUCGAAUCUUUGAACGCACAUUGCGCCCAUUAGUAUUCUAGUGGGCAUGCCUGUUCGAGCGUCAUUUCAACCCUUAAGCCUCUGUUGCUUAGUGUUGGGAGCCUACAGCACCUGUAGCUCCUCAAAGUUAGUGGCGGAGUCGGUUUACACUCUAGACGUAGUAAUUUUAUCUCGCCUAUUAGUUGGACCGGUCCCCUGCCGUAAAACCCCUAUUUUUAAAGGUUGACCUCGGAUCAGGUAGGAAUACCCGCUGAACUUAAGCAUAUCAAUAAGCGGAGGAAAAGAAACCAACAGGGAUUGCCCUAGUAACGGCGAGUGAAGCGGCAACAGCUCAAAUUUGAAAUCUGGCCCUCGGGUCCGAGUUGUAAUUUGUAGAGGAUGCUUUUGGCGCGGUGC